AAUGAACAGGAUAUUUCAUUGUUGUAAUAUCAUAAAAUCAGAAUUUGAGUACAUCUGGGCGAGCUUCCUGUUUCAGAGAUCUGUGCUGAAUGCAUAGUGAAGUCAUUGCUGCAAAGCCAUGGCCUUAGCCUUAGUCCUGGCAGUGGAGCAGUCAGGAGGGCACCUGAAGUCAUGUUCAUUGGGUCUUAAAGGAGAAACCUUAAGAUUCACAAUGUGGUGGUGAGACUUGCUCUUGGAUGCUGUCAGGAAGUAUCAUCUGACUGCGUUUGCUACCCUGGGGGAGACAAACAAAACUUGAGUGAAGGAAAAUGAGAACUCACCUGAAACCAAGAAGAGUCUUUGGAAAAGGAUUUUUGUGUAGGUCAUCUGGAAAGUGUUUACUCUUAGCAGUUAUGCAUAACUAUAGUCUUAAGAACAAAGUGAGGUGGGGGUGCGGGUAAGGGUGGGAAUGGGGUAGGGGUAAACGAGUGGGUGGAGACGUGUCUGUGUGUCCAAAAAACUG
ensembl:lncRNA LINC01332 long intergenic non-protein coding RNA 1332